rnacentral:rRNA from 2 species
UUAGUUGCUAACGGUUCGGCCGAGCACUCUAAAUAGACUGCCUUCGUAAGGAGGAGGAAGGUGUGGACGACGUCAAGUCAUCAUGGCCCUUAUGCCCAGGGCGACACACGUGCUACAAUGGCAUAUACAAUGAGACGCAAUACCGCGAGGUGGAGCAAAUCUAUAAAAUAUGUCCCAGUUCGGAUUGUUCUCUGCAACUCGAGAGCAUGAAGCCGGAAUCGCUAGUAAUCGUAGAUCAGCCAUGCUACGGUGAAUACGUUCCCGGGUCUUGUACUCACCGCCCGUCACACCAUGGGAGUUGAUUUCACUCGAAGCCGGAAUACUAAACUAGUUACCGUCCACAGUGGAAUCAGCGACUGGGGUGAAGUCGUAACAAGGUAACCGUAGGAGAACCUGCGGUUGGAUCACCUCCUUU